CCGAGUUAUCAACUCCCAAACCCCUGUGAACAUACACUUUGUUGCCUCGGCGGAUCAGCCCCGCCUCCGGUAACCGGACCAGGCCCGCCAGCAGGACCCCUAAACUCUUGUUUCUAUAUGUAAUCUUCUGAGUACACAAGCAAAUAAAUUA
rnacentral:misc_RNA from 1 species